CGGCCGUAAUCAAGAAGUUAGACAAAAUGGAUGUAAAGAAAAGAUAAGAAAGACGCCAUAGGCGCCCCAAGCGUUUCGCUUGUUUUCUUGCUAUCCGAUGCACUCCAGGGAAGAUGGUAUGUGAUGACCCUAUGUUCGGGUGGGAGAGUCUUGCAUUAAGACUCCAUGUUCUCCAAAGUGUACAUGCAAAUAAAGCGAGAAAUAAAAAUUAACAAUAUAAUCUUAAUAUUGCAAAUUGUAUCCCCAACUAGUUGAGGACAAUGAGAAAGUAAAGCAACACAAUUACUACAGUGGUGCUAAAAAACCAUAUCAAUAGAAGCAGAUUCUUUACAUAGGAAUUUUAAGUCAUCAUGACAACUACUUGCGAUGAAUUAAAAGAUGGAAACACAUUUUGUUCCUUUAAUAUACUUAUAGGUAUGAUUAACAAAACUAAGUUAACACUUUUUAGAGAUUACUACGACAUAGUAACUCAGGAAACAUUUAUUUAAACUAAAAGAAUAAAUCAUUUAUAAACACAUAUAUAAGACCCUAUUUUCGAUACUUCAAUGAUACAAUCUUAAGUCAAGGAUCUGUAAAACCACUUCCAUUAAAAUAUAUAUAAAAUUUCUCUCAUAGCAGGUCACUAAAAGGUUGAAACACUAAAUGAACAGACCCUUAUAACAGUAUAACAAGAGGAAAGAAUCAUAACUUGGCUCAAAUUAUAUUAUUUACUUACGACAAUGUCUAAAAUAAUUCUUAUUGCAACUGGUUGAGAUCUAGUUAGAACCUAUAAGCAUGGUCUCUAAAUUUCGAGCAAAAAAAAAAUAAUCCAAAGCCUGGUUUCUUUAUAAUAAGAAAAUUUACAUUGGUUAGCUUAUAAAAUCCUACUUUAACACGAGAGCAUAUGAGCCUUAAUAUCCAUAUUACAUUGAUUAGGCAGGUUGGUCAUUUUAUUGGUAAUUUAGAGCUCUUGAGAAGAUCUAUCUUUCAUUCUUUGGACAGUAAACUAAAAGUAGCGCAGCUAUGAAUAUUUAACGCAUGGAAGACAUGAGGUGAACCCAUUAUAAAUAGCAACACCCUAUAUGGAUGAUAGCUAAAGCAUGAAGCAUCCAUAUCCAUACGCAUUUACGCAACCAAAUCAUAUUUUAGAGACAGUUUUAUUUCAUACAAUAAGAUUAUUCGUGGUUUCUAUAAAAUACUCGUCCAACUAGCAUCCUCGCAGUCUAUUAUGACUUAACCCCCAUUCAAGAAAUAGCUUAACAUAUGAUUUCUAAUAUACGGAGGACAGCAGCUAAAGAAAAUAAGGAACACUUAACAUAAGAUUUUGACAAAGGAGUAAUAACACAAAAACGAUGACUUCAAUCAACUCUCAACAAAAAAAGGCAUGACGAAUAUCCAUUUUUAAUGACGUCUCACACAAAGAGAAACUAAUGCAUUUCAAAAAUUAAUGAUUCAAGCAGAUACUACCUAGAAUCGAAAGAAAAAUAAGUAAAACAAAGUCACUGACCUGUUGCGGGGCAGUGAACUAGGGCGAGGGUCUUGGAUUUAUCGGACUCCGACCUCGAACUAACUACUUCGAACGAUUCCGGAAAAAGGGCAAAACACCUCUGCUUUGACUAAAAAAAUCAACCAAUAGAGGCGAGAAAUAUCAAACGAAAAGCUAGGAUUUUAGAGAGUGCUUUAAAGGAGUAAAAGCGGGAGCGAAAAGCAGUGAGUUUGAGAAUCAUAUGCAACGAUGGCUCUAGUAAAGGGGGCGGCUGAAACUCUCAAAAUUUGGGGUGAAAGGGUCGGCUAAGAGCUUGUCCCCAAAUGGAUUGCAUUUAUAGGGCAAAAAUUAGGGUUCUUGGUUUGAAAAUUAAAAUAGCCGUUUGAGAGAGGAUUGGCCGUUUAUUUCACCAUUUUAGUCUAUCAUUUGGAAGGCAAGCUUCUCUGGAAAAGGGGAGAUAUCACGUGAGGAAGAGAGAGAGUUGAGAGAUUUU
rnacentral:lncRNA from 1 species